AUCUUAUCAAGAGUGGCAGAGGGACUGGCCCUGUGAAGCCCGGCAACCAGUAUAUUUAAUUAUACAUUGGUGCUAAAUCCUGCAGCAUUUAUGCUGAAAGAUGAGUA
rnacentral:ncRNA from 22 species